GACGAACGCUGGCGGCGUGCCUAAUACAUGCAAGUCGAGCGAACCAAUAAGAAGCUUGCUUUUUGUUGGUUAGCGGCGGACGGGUGAGUAACACGUGGGUAACCUGCCUGUAAGACCGGGAUAACUCCGGGAAACCGGUGCUAAUACCGGAUAGAUUAUCUUUCCGCAUGGAGAGAUAAGGAAAGAUGGCUAUUGCCAUCACUUACAGAUGGGCCCGCGGCGCAUUAGCUAGUUGGUGAGGUAACGGCUCACCAAGGCGACGAUGCGUAGCCGAUCUGAGAGGGUGAUCGGCCACACUGGGACUGAGACACGGCCCAGACUCCUACGGGAGGCAGCAGUAGGGAAUCUUCCGCAAUGGACGAAAGUCUGACGGAGCAACGCCGCGUGAGCGAAGAAGGUCUUCGGAUCGUAAAGCUCUGUUGUUAGGGAAGAACAAGUAUCGGAGGAAAUGCCGGUACCUUGACGGUACCUGACGAGAAAGCCACGGCUAACUACGUG
rnacentral:rRNA from 1 species